UACGUAGGGGGCUAGCGUUAUCCGGAAUUACUGGGCGUAAAGGGUGCGUAGGUGGUUUCUUAAGUCAGAGGUGAAAGGCUACGGCUCAACCGUAGUAAGCCUUUGAAACUGAGAAACUUGAGUGCAGGAGAGGAGAGUAGAAUUCCUAGUGUAGCGGUGAAAUGCGUAGAUAUUAGGAGGAAUACCAGUUGCGAAGGCGGCUCUCUGGACUGUAACUGACACUGAGGCACGAAAGCGUGGGGAGCAAACAGGAUUAGAUACCCUGGUAGUCCCUGA
rnacentral:rRNA from 1 species